AACGAACGCUGGCGGCAGGCUUAACACAUGCAAGUCGAACGGGUGCGAGCAAUCGCAUCAGUGGCAGACGGGUGAGUAACACGUGGGAACCUUCCUAGGGGUACGGAACAACUCAGGGAAACUUGAGCUAAUACCGUAUACGCCCCGGACUUGAUCCGGGGGAAAGAUUCAUCGCCCCUAGACGGGCCCGCGUCGGAUUAGGUAGUUGGUGAGGUAAAGGCUCACCAAGGCGACGAUCAGUAGCNGGUCUGAGAGGAUGAUCAGCCACACUGGGACUGAGACACGGCCCAGACUCCUACGGGAGGCAGCAGUGGGGAAUUUUGGACAAUGGGGGCAACCCUGAUCCAGCCAUGCCGCGUGAGGGAAGAAGG
rnacentral:rRNA from 1 species